CCUGCUGCCUGAAAGAGGAGCCCAUGUAGACCCAGGCCGGAGGUCAAGGCAGGAGCAUCUCUCUUUUCACUGCACUUGGCGGAAGGUUUUACUGCUUCCAAGGACACAGGAAUGUUCAUGGCUUGGUUUUCUGUAGGCGGCCUGAUCUUUAUUGCAUCAACCCCUGCGCCGUAUCCGUGUCUCCUUGUUUGGCAGCUAGCAGAGUGUGGCAACAAGCGACUGCGCGGCUCCUGGGUGGUGAAGGAGGACGAGGAGGAGGAAGCUACACAACAUGAGGAAGAAUAUUUCAAUCAGACAAACAGGAGAGAAGAAGCUGACCGGAACAGAUCUCUAAGAGAGGAAAUUGUUUUUGCACAUCUAAGUACUGGAGAAAACAAGGCGGCA